AUGCUGGGUUGUUUCUGUAAACACAUUGUUGGGUUGUUUAUGCUGGGUCAAAAUUCUGGGUUGUUUGGAGUACUUUAAACACACUGUUGGGUUGCUCAUGCUGGGUCAAAUGAAAUGUAGUGGGUAAUUUACAAAUGAACACAUGGUUGGGUAAAUUUGACCCAGCAAAUGGUUUAUUUUCCUUUCAUUGGCUGGCCGUUUCUCAAGGCAGCCUUCACAAUGUUCAAAAUAUUAUCAUUUAAAUAUUACCAAAUGUAGUUUUAAGAGUUUUUUAGGCGACAAUGUAUGUGUGUAAAGUUCAAAACUUCGAUCGGUUUUUGAAGAUAGCGUAUAUUUAAAAAUGUGCUCCAACGAUGUCGAAGCUUCGAGAUUCAGGCAAUCACUGGGCGCUCUGCGCUGAUGUACCCGCCCAACACAGCCUCACCUCGGCACGUCAUUCUGGAAAUCACCGCUGGCUGUAAUGUCUCUGUAGUGUUUAGAACGGCGGAUUUAUUUCAUUUCGGGUCUCAUAAAUCUAUUAUUUGUUCCUUGCCAAGUCCGAAUUAAGUUACGUUGUAAGGAUGCAAGUUCUGCCAUUUUUUGUCGAACUUUCUGGAGGACUUCAUUUCCUCUGAAGCGAGGUGCACGCCACUCAAAGCGGGCAGUAUUUUAUGCCAGGAUCAUUUUGAAAAACAAACACCUGGUUGGGUUAUUUUGACCCAGCAAUUGGUUUAUUAAUUGCCGCACUUUCUGGAUUCUUCGCUUCUGACUGGAUCACGCUACUCGGACCAGGCGGUAUUUCAUGAGUUCAGUAGAAUCCACUGAAUUGACCCCAACAGAUCAUAUCACCAUGACAGUGGAACUUUUUUCAGCCUUUGCAGUUUGUCAGAUUUUGGAAAGCACCCCUGAGAGGAAAUCCGUAUUAAACCGUUAAAGUGCAAGCAAUUACCAACAAGCAGAGGAGGCUACUUGUGAGACUCCUUGCAUCCCAUCUGCUGGAAACCAAUGGUGAAACCUGAGCCAUCAUCAGACACUAAGAAGGCAUGUGACAAGGCAUUGGUGUAUGAAUUUCCUUGCCUGAAGGAUAUACAGCUGCUAAAGGGGAAACAGCACUGAAGAUGCCAACUCUGCUAGCUCCAUCCAUUUACAGGGGAGGAGGAGAGUCUUCAGACCUACCACUGUG